GCGCCGGUGGUGUAAUGGCAUUUCCGUUUCCAGUUCCCGCGCGAUCAGAGGGAGGUGCGGGUUCGAGUCCCGCCUGGCGCU
rnacentral:tRNA from 1 species